rnacentral:rRNA from 1 species
AUUGAGCGCUGGCGGAAUGCUUUACACAUGCAAGUCGAACGGCAGCAUAGGUGCUUGCACCUGAUGGCGAGUGGCGAACGGGUGAGUAAUAUAUCGGAACGUGCCCAGUCGUGGGGGAUAACGUAGCGAAGGCUACGCUAAUACCGCAUACGAUCUAUGGAUGAAAGCGGGGGACCUUCGGGCCUCGCGCGAUUGGAGCGGCCGAUAUCAGAUUAGGUAGUUGGUGAGGUAAAGGCUCACCAAGCCGACGAUCUGUAGCUGGUCUGAGAGGACGACCAGCCACACUGGGACUGAGACACGGCCCAGACUCCUACGGGAGGCAGCAGUGGGGAAUUUUGGACAAUGGACGCAAGUCUGAUCCAGCCAUUCCGCGUGCAGGACGAAGGCCUUCGGGUUGUAAACUGCUUUUGUACAGAACGAAAAGGUUUCUAUUAAUACUAGGGGCUCAUGACGGUACUGUAAGAAUAAGCACCGGCUAACUACGUGCCAGCCGCCGCGGUAA